GUAAUAUUUUUUUUUUCUGUAGUUAAAUCGUGUGCUCGUCGAGGGUAUUACAAACCACGCACUGAAUAAGGCGGAUGAUUUGCAAGAGAAGUUGAUGGGGACAUUGGAUAAAGAAAAUGCACCUAUGGCAGCAAAAGUGGUACGC